CAAAUCGAGAAUUCGGGAAAUAUAUUCAAGAUUCCCGCGACCAGCUCCGUCCAUAAAUUCUCGCGAAUCGAGACCUCCGAUCAACUCCACAUAACCUCACGAGCAUUUCCCCUCCAUAAAUUCCCACGACCAGCUCCGUCCUGCGAAUCCAUGAUGAUUGACGGUAAGGAGGAGGUCGUCAAUGUGAUUUUCAACUUAAGGGCUCCUCCUCUCUGCAAAUUAAAGCCGGAUAUGGACCCCAGGAGAAAAACUGAGCAUUUUGGUGGCCUUCUCUAACAAAAUCGACGGCAGCAGUUCGGUGACCGGUCGACGACGCUCUAGCAAAGACCCAAGAGACAAAAUUUUUCCCUUUUCGUGGUGAUCGCAAAUUUUCGAUCCAAUUUUUAAUCGAUGCUUACAAAUGAACAAAUCCUAUGAAUCUGCCUAUUGGAACUACUUCAAUUUUAUGUCUGCAUUUCUGGGAAGUAGCAGCAUUACCAACUGGAAUUUCUUAAUUGGGUUUACAUAUCUUUUGGCCGGAUUCGCCUUUCUUUCUGUGUAUGCUCUUUACGUUAAAUGCAGAAGAUUGAGAGGUUCAAGCCAAGAGAUAGAUGAGCAGAGACAUGAAGAGCAUAGGUUGCCCCUGCUGGUCGAUAUUGGUUUCACAUUUGCGGGUAAUGGAGUAGUAAUCAUGGGAAGAAGGUUUAUUCCUAGUGAAAACCUGGAAUAUGUUUUCUUUGGAGGAGCUAUACUAUUUCUUGUAAGUGGAAUAUUCUUUUAUUGCUAUACAAAGUAUUCUUGUGAAUCAGAAAGUCAAUUUCAUCCUCAUAGAGAAUAGAAAUGAUAUCAUAAUUGAUACCAGACUUGAUAAAGUUGACUUUCUGUCGAUUAGGAACAAUCGAAACUUGUAGCAAUAUCCAUCUCUGAAUGAAUAAGAGCGCUUUGGAAUCUAUAUUGCAUGUUCAAAAAUAGGUAGACGAUAGUCAUAUGAUAUGGAUUUAAGAAACUUCAUUUUUACAUUGAUCUACAGAUGUAUCAAAUAAGGAAGCAUUACAAGUAUAAUAUCUUAUCUCCUUUAUCCGAAUUUAUUCUGCCAUGAUGUGGCGAUCUUUGGAUCUACACAUUGAAUGGCUUAUUUAUUUGGAUCAUUGUAACAUUAGUUCUCAGGUAACCCCUCAGCUAGCACAAUUGAUUCUGGAUACUUAAAUCCAAAUAUCUGAAGUGCAGUCACCGCCUGGAUAUCUCAUCUCAUGAGCAAGAGAAGGACCUUCAGGUUCAGCUGCAAAGUCCACAAAAAAGUUUGGGUUUAUUUUAAGACCACCUUUCUCAGUGUCAACAUCAAUCUGCAACAUGUGAGAUCCUUUCUCCACAAGUUCCGGAUAAAACUGACGAUCCCAAGUACUGAAGAGUGAAUUGGUGACAUACAGUCGCUUCCCAUCCAAACUUAGCUGGAUCAUCUGGGGUCCUCCUCUCAGUCGAUUACCCUGAAAAGAAAAUAUGAAGCUCAUCAAUCAGUAAGUAGACUCUCCCUUUGUGUACCCAUAAGAAUAUGCCAUGCAAGUGAUGCAUGAAAAUAGUUGCCAAUGAAUGAUGCUUCCCCAUGACAGUAACACAAAACAACAUAGAGACCUAUAUGAUUUUUCAACUUUAAAAAGAAAAAAAGAAUGAGCCUAAAGGCAUAUGAUGUUUCUUUUAUGUUGAAACGGUGGACUUAUUAGGCUACAAUAAUGCAUCUGUAGCAUUAUAGUUUAGCCAAAUUUAAAGAAAUCAAAUAACAUUUAAAA